GGAAACCUCAUCCCUGGAGGUCAUGGCUGGAAGCUGUGGCUGCUUUGCCUCUGGGGAGCAGGGCCGGGUGCUGGGGCUAGGUGUUGCUCCGGCAAGCCCAGGUUGCCAUACUCCCUUGCUGGCAACCGCAUCGGAGGAAGAAGAGAAUGAGGAGGAAGAUGGUGCUGAGAUGAAGCUGCUGCUUUGGGAAGGGCCUUUUUUUGGAUCAGCUCUGUUCUCUGCAGCACAAGGAAAACCAUGAUUUACGGCGGGGUCGGCAGGGCAGAUGCCAUGUGCCAAAGACGGAUGCGCCGCUGUGGUGGAGCACAACAACACCCCCUCACCCUGACCUCGGGCCCAUCUGACCGCAAAUAACUGACAGCGCCCAGGGCUGACCAGGAGCAACUAGGAGAUACUGGUUGCAACUGGUGAGGCCAGAAACAGGCAUGAGAUCAACAGAAAAGGUACAUCUCCACACCAGAUACCGUACAACCACGAGUCAGACUCUGCCCAUAGCCAGCGCUGCAGCCUAGAGCCCACGGAGCUCUCCUGCGUGGUGGCAGAUGUCCCCUUGAGUUGGGACACCUCUCCGGGAGUUAAGAGAACCUCUGACAAGAAACCGAGACUUGAGCAAUAACAAAUGUGCAGUAAGAUUUGCUCGCUGUGACCAUGCUGUAUCGCCAUCUUCACUAAAUCUGUGAUAAACCCAGAGGUGAUAACACCACUACCUUGACAGCUGCGAGCUCCAGGUCUGCAGCAGAAGGUCCAGAGCUAAUUUCUUCAUCUAUGUCCGAGGAUCCUGCAGCGGUAUCUGUGCUCGUGCACCCACAGCCGUGGGGCUGCUCCCCCCGCUCUUGGCCGUGCCCUUUGCGGCACGCUGGGGCUACGGAUCAGCUGGAUCCAGAUUUGCCGGGGUGCCACAAUCCGGCUAUCCCGCCUCUCCUUGAUCACAUUCGGGCUGGCUGUGAAAUUAGACUUGCAAAU
rnacentral:lncRNA from 1 species